GGAGAGGUGGCCGAGUGGCUGAAGGCGGCACAUUGCUAAUGUGUUGUGGGUCAAAAGCCCACCGGGGGUUCGAAUCCCCCCCUCUCCG
rnacentral:tRNA from 1 species